AUUUUAUCGAACAGAAAGAUCUAAUCGAUACGACUACAUCGACCGUUCCACUUUUUAUUUGUUUUAAAUUACUACCAUCGCCAAUUAUAAGACGUUCGACGUUAAUAUGCCCAAAUUCCAAGAAGCCGAAGGACACUCCUCGUGUCGUGCGUCAGGUAGACCCCCAAGUAUACACACGAAGUGGACCAACAAACGAGUCUAUUUGCCCGACAAAGACUCCGGAAAAGCUACGAAUUUUCGGCUUGAAAUGAUCGAGAGGAUCGAAGAAGACGACCGGGACCGAAGAAAUGUUAGAAGGGAUGAAAAAGAAGGGGUGAGAAGUGUUUUCGGAAGAAUAAGGGAAGUGAAGAGAGUGAGGAAAGUUGGCGAUACCUUUCUAUUCUAUUUCCGUGUAUUCUUCUAAUAUUAAAGUAAAGCUUCCUACUAUUUAUUUAUUUAUUUAUUUUAUUUUAUUUAU